rnacentral:rRNA from 1 species
GAUGAACGCUGGCGGCGUGCCUAAUACAUGCAAGUCGAGCGAAUGGAUUAAGAGCUUGCUCUUAUGAAGUUAGCGGCGGACGGGUGAGUAACACGUGGGUAACCUGCCCAUAAGACUGGGAUAACUCCGGGAAACCGGGGCUAAUACCGGAUAACAUUUUGAACCGCAUGGUUCGAAAUUGAAAGGCGGCUUCGGCUGUCACUUAUGGAUGGACCCGCGUCGCAUUAGCUAGUUGGUGAGGUAACGGCUCACCAAGGCAACGAUGCGUAGCCGACCUGAGAGGGGGAGCGGCCACAGUGUGACUGGGCCACGGCCCAGACUCCUACGGGAGGCAGCAGUAGGGAAUCUUCCGCAAUGGACGAACGUCUGACGGAGCAACGCCGCGUGAGUGAUGAAGGCUUUCGGGUCGUACAACUCUGUUGUUAGGGAAGAACAAGUGCUAGUUGAAUAAGCUGGCACCUUGACGGUACCUAACCAGAAAGCCACGGCUAACUACGUGCCAGCCGCCGCCGUAA